CCCUUAGAUGUUCUGGGCCGCACGCGCGCUACACUGACGAAUGCAACGAGCUUAUAACCUUGGCCGAAAGGUCUGGGUAAUCUCCAAAUUUCGUCGUGAUGGGGAUAGAUUAUUGCAAUUAUUAAUCUUCAACGAGGAAUGCCUAGUAAGCGCAAGUCAUCAGCUUGCGUUGAUUACGUCCCUGCCCUUUGUACACACCGCCCGUCGCUCCUACCGAUUGAAUGGUCCGGUGAAGCGUUCGGACCGUGGCCUUUGGACGGUUCGCCGUCUGUUGGCUGCGGGAAGUUCGUUAAACCUUAUCAUUUGGAGGAAGGAGAANUCGUAACA
rnacentral:rRNA from 1 species